AGUUAUUCUCACUAGUUUAGCCAUUGAGCUUGAAUCGUUCAUUAUCUUUUAAAUCGUUUUUAACAUAAAAAAUAAGGUUGGUUAAUUAGAGCAGAAUGAAUGCCUUAAUAAAUUAACUUAUGUUAUAAAAUAAACUUUUUAAUUUAUUAUUAAAGUAGUCGUAUUGUUAAUUUAUGCAUAUAUAUUAAAAUUUAACAAGUUUUAUAUACUAUAUAUUUGAAAUAGGAGACUUUUUAAGAAAAAUAUUUUUUCUUAGUUAGGCCUAAAUAAUUGAAAAAAUAGGUCGCGCAUAACUCUUUACGAUUAUAAUUAGCCACGUCAUGGUUACGUUCUACGUAUUGGUCUUGGCUGCAACAAUUGCAACUGCAACACUAGGAAAUGAAGUAAUAAACCCAGUAAUUCCAGUUCCGAGGAGAAGACCUGGAGUAAUUCUUUCGGAAAAUACUCUGGCUAAAAAGGUAUUAGUUGAUUUUGAAGUGUUUUUGGAGUUGAAUUGUCCUGAUAGUAAAGUCACAUGGCCUGUAUUGAAGAGAGUUGCUCAAGAUUUUGCCCCGAAGGGGGUUAGAUUAACAGUUAAUCAAUUUGCUCUACCAUACCAUCAAUAUGGCUAUCUAUCAACUCUUGCCUACUAUUUUAUAAACAAUAACAAUGCCUCAUUAACUGUACCGUACGCUGAUGCCAUCUUCGAAAAUAUAAGGGAGUUUGGACUGCGUAGCUGGACUAAAACCCCAAUAGAAAUGACUAAACGUUUGUCAGAAAUUGCUGUUUCAGUUGGCUACGAACAAGGAUUUAACACAACAGACAUAUUGGCUUUCAGCGGUCCAGUAAGAACUACUUGGAAAUAUGCUACAAGACGUCUGUAUACAAUAAAACGCAUAAUAGAUUAUUGAAUAGCUAAUCAUUUGUUAUUCUUUGUUUAGGUGGCGUUUCUGGCACCCCAUGGUAUUUUAUUAAUAACGUUGAUCUCGGCAUAUCUUCGAGUGGAACUCUUUCCUACGAGACUUGGGCAGAUUAUUUGAAUGGCUUAUUAAUGGGGAAAAAAAUUUAGAAUAUAGCCAUUUAUUUUACUAUAAUUCCUUAAAAUGUUCUAUCUCUGUUAAAGUUCAUUUAAUAAAAAGAUUUUAUUAAAAAACUAUGCUAUUUAAACUUUGGUUUUAUUUCAUAAAAUAAAUCUAUGA
rnacentral:misc_RNA from 1 species